rnacentral:lncRNA from 1 species
UUUAUAGCCUAGGGGUCCAUGACAAAAGACCAUGGCUACUCUUGAGGGAGAGAGAAAGUGAGGGUAAGGUGGUAAAUUCAUCCCUAGAGCUUUCUUGGUCCCUACUCUAGCUCCUUUGACCAUGGCAUGGGGGCCUUGACCCUUUGACUCCUUUGACCGGCGCUUAGUUGGCAUGGCUAUGCUUUGUUGACGAUUUGACCGGUCUUUGAGGUUUGUUGACUUGGUCGUCGCCACGUAGGAUUAUGGCCCGGCCCAUGUAAGGAAUUUAUUAUAUUACGAUAGUAGCCCCCUUGAGCCAGAGGCAUUGGGAAUGCCUUCGGGUCAACUUCAACGUCGACAGUGUACCAAGAUUCUUCAUCCGAUACUUUAUGGCGUAGCUCUCCUUUGGGCGAGCCACCGGCUAGGUAGGUUUUGCGAAGAAACUGGGCCUAGGUGGGCUGCCUUGUGAGAUACUCGUGGUUUAGGGGGUGUCCUUCGAGACGUUGCGUUGGGGGAGCCACCGGCUAGGUGAUCUUUCUCGAGGAGGAAGAUAGACCUAGGUGGGCUUGGCAUGUCCCAAGGGCUUCUGGGAUUCUUCCUUCGGGACCUUCCUUCUGAAAAGUCAAGGCCACGAAGGCUUUUCUCGCAAAAUUUGGGCGUUGGGCGACUCCUUUUGCAAGAUAAUGGAGCUGCAGGGGAUUUUUCGUGAAUUUAUUGCCUUCUGAGGGUUCCGGCAUGAAAUUCCCAAGCCACCAGGGGGAAGCUUGAGAUUUUCCUCGUCCUGGGGGGCUUUCCUGUAAAAAAAUCCUCCCCCGGGCCGCCCAAUCGUGCACAGGAGCAUUCCUGGGCCGCGCUCGGCUUAAUGGGCCUCCCGGGCGACCGGGCCUGGGAGGCUUCCUCCUGUUUUUCUUAUUUUUUAUUUUUUAUUUUUUUUAUCCACGCUCGUUACUGGGCCAAGGCCCACUUCGCAGCUCAGCCCGCAUAAUGGUUCGCUGGCUUAAGUAAGGAGAUCGGACGGAGGAGGUUGCUCCCGAACCCUACAUUCGACGGCUGCUGCGCGUCUUCUUCGUUCGUACAGGGCGAGAAAGGAGGCCGUCCUCCUUUCCCCUUUCGUCGAGGAGUUUGGUCAUCACGGCUGUGAAGGGGCGCGUAGAGAUAAACAAAAACUUUUCCUACGCGAACUCCCAAGAUCUAGCCGAGGUAGAAGGCCACGAGGAUUACAACUAGACACGCAGUUGCGGAUUAUCGAUGCGGCGCCUUGAUGCAGUGCAGUCCCUCGAUCCGAUCCAGCCGAUCCGAUCCCGCGAUCGUCGAAGUGCUGAACGUACAGCACCUCUGCCGGUAUCCACACGUGCGAGGAGGAGCUCCGGCGGCGGACUGCUAGGUCCGGUGCGACGGUUGGACUGAAUGGGGCUAGGGUUCUCAACGCAUGAGAGUGGAAAAACCGUGCCCCUUAGGCAUCCCACGCCCCUACUUAUAUACCGAGUGGAAGUGGGCUCCAUCCACUCUGCGAGUCCAACUCGCAUUGUCAGCCCAAUUCCGGUUCGGGUCCAACCUGACCAAAUACUUGCUCCCGCUCUUAAGUGUAUGACCCCGCAGGCUCAUGGCGACUUGGACACGAUUGGAGUCCGACUCUCAAUCGAUCAAUCGGUAGCGGCUCCUAGCAGAACGUGCCGACUCCCAAGUACCAUCGAGUCAUGACGACGUACGUUCCAAUGUGACAUAUGUCUUAGUCCCU